AACCCUAGCAAAAAUUUCAGACUUCCCUCCAACAAGUUUUAGGCUUUUCCCUCUCAAAUGCCCAAACCCUAUAGCUGAAUAGUCAAUAGAGUGAUAUUCAAACAACACAGUUAAGAAAUUGUGUUGUCUGAAUAAGGUAAGUUAUAUUUUUUUUCCUUUUCUUUUUGGCUUAGUUGCCAAAUACUUCGUGUUUUUUCCAUGGCUCUUCUCUUUCUCUUUUCCCAUCUCUGCUCGUUCGCUCUCCCAUUCUCUUUCUCUCCUUUACCAACAAAAUCCCCUUUCUCUUUGUCUCCAUCUCUCCCAUAAAUUUCUUUCUCAAAACCCUGCAGCCUCCCCAGAUUCUCUUCGAAUCCCUACCCUUCAUCCAGAGGUUCAGGGCCAAGACCAGUGUAGUCAAGUACCACGGCGACGCCAUGAAAGAGAACACCGUCCAGGCCAUGGACGGCCUUACCUCUACAUCGCCUCCGCCUCUUCUUCUUCCUCUUCCUGCUUAACCCUCCGUUCAGAUCCAGUCCCCGGAAGGCUUUUCUCUCAAAGACAAUGUUUUUUUAAUUUGGGCUUUUAGGGUUCUUCUGGUUUUGGGGUUUUUCUGGUUCGAUUUUGCUCAUGAUUUUUAUUUUUGCAGAAUUGGUUAGAGAGGUAGUGCUAGUUUGGUUCCUCUUUGACUCGCUUUCAGAACAUGACAGGCUUCCUUCUUUAACAAUGACCUCCUAAUUUUGGAUGCCUUCGUGAUUCAUAAGGUAUCAGGUUUAGUCUUGUGUCGUAUAACAUUUUGGCUCAGGCGUAUGUGAAGAGCUCCUUGUUUCCCCACUCUCCAUCUUCUUGUCUCAAGUGGAAAGCCCGCUCACAGGCAAUUUUGAGUGUUCUCAAGAACCUUGGAGUCGACUCUCUGCCUACAGGAAGUUGAUGAGUAUGAGAGCUUUUACAAAGGAAAUAUGGAGAGCAGUGGUUAUUCCAGUACCUACAUUCAGAGAAGUGAGCAAAAGCGUGACGGAUGUGGAAUUUUCGAUAAGCAUAAGUGCAUAACGUAGUGCGGAUUUGGGCAAAUCUGGGUGUCUUUAUCAGUUUAUGUUUGUGGAUCUUGGAGCCCAACACUGCAAUAGCGGCUGCAAUAUUUGAAUUAAAAGGAAAUGUUUGAGUAUCGUAGCGGAAAGCAUUGUUAACUUUUAGCAUUGCUGAAUUGGAUGGAAGAAAGAAUGCAUCCCUUUAAUCAGGGCCUCUUCAAAGAAACUAAGACCAAUGAGAUGUGUCUUAGAAUUUGCUCUAGAAGUAAAGAUGUUGUGGAGCCUAUCAUAAAGCCUGAGCGGUACAUUAAAUGCAGCGAUAUGGGAAAUGAAGCUCUCAAUGCUGUCGCUGAUGAUGAAAAUAGGAAGCUGGAGAUUAUCCCAAGACAGUAUACUGCUGAAUGGAAGAGAUGACUUCGUAACAUUAGUGAUUGGUGUGUCUCGAGGCAACUUUGGUGGAGUCACCGUGUUCUGGCACGGUAUGUUGUUUUUUAGGGUGAUAACAACGAAGAAUUUGGAAAAAAAUUUGAGCGAUGGGUGGUUGCAGGAAGUGAGGAAGAGGCUCAAGCAUUGGCUGAUCAAAAAUAUGAGGGAAAGAAGUUUCGAUUAGAACAGGACUCAGAUGUGCUUGACAGGUGGUUUUCGUCUGGUCUUUUCCCAUUGUCGGUAUUGGGCUGGCCGGAUUAAGAACUUUUUAUCCAAAUUCAGUUGUUGAAACUGGGCACGAUAUUCUGUUUUUCUGGGUUGCUGAUCGUAUGGUGAUGCUUGGAAAUAUAUUGGGCGGUAAUGUUCCCUUUACUAAGAUGAUUGCCCCUCAACCACAGAAGUAGUCCCACACUGGCCCCCUUAUUCAAAGACUUUUUCACCGUGAAUUUUGUUUUUUGGCAAAGCAUGUGAAGAUGUUUGGGGAUUCAUUUGAAUGUACUAACUGCAGUUAGAACAAAGUUUUCUUUUUAGCCCUAAUUCAACUUUCUUUUGCUGAGUUCAUUUUUUGGAUGUAUGUAUAGCUGC